rnacentral:rRNA from 1 species
UAGGGAAUCUUCCGCAAUGGACGAAAGUCUGACGGAGCAACGCCGCGUGAGUGAUGAAGGCUUUCGGGUCGUAAAACUCUGUUGUUAGGGAAGAACAAGUGCUAGUUGAAUAAGCUGGCACCUUGACGGUACCUAACCAGAAAGCCACGGCUAACUACGUGCCAGCAGCCGCGGUAAUACGUAGGUGGCAAGCGUUAUCCGGAAUUAUUGGGCGUAAAGCGCGCGCAGGUGGUUUCUUAAGUCAGAUGUGAAAGCCCACGGCUCAACCGUGGAGGGUCAUUGGAAACUGGGAGACUUGAGUGCAGAAGAGGAAAGUGGAAUUCCAUGUGUAGCGGUGAAAUGCGUAGAGAUAUGGAGGAACACCAGUGGCGAAGGCGACUUUCUGGUCUGUAACUGACACUGAGGCGCGAAAGCGUGGGGAGCAAACAGG